CUACUACUCCCUCCGUCCGAAAAUACUUGUCAUAAAAAUGGAUACAAAUGGGUGUAUCCAGAACUAAAAUACAUGUAGAUAUAUUCAUUCUUUGAACAAAUAUUUCCGGACGAAGGGAGUACUAG
rnacentral:pre_miRNA from 1 species